AGAGGUCUCAAGCGUUGUUCGGAUUCAUUGGGCGUAAAGGGUGCGUAGGUGGCGCCGUAAGUGGGGUGUGAAAUUUCGGAGCUUAACUCCGAAACUGCAUUCCAUACUGCGGUGCUUUGAGGACUGGAGAGGAGACUGGAAUUUACGGUGUAGCGGUGAAAUGCGUAGAUAUCGUAAGGAAGACCAGUGGCGAAGGCGGGUCUCGUGGACAGUUCCUGACGCUGAGGCACGAAGGCCAGGGGGAGCAAACGGG
rnacentral:rRNA from 1 species